UGACGACCGUUUCAGGUGAUGACGACCGUUUCAGGUGAUGACGACCGUUUCAGGUGAUGACGACCGUUUCAGGCGAUGACGACAUCAGGUGAUGACGACAUCAGGUGAUGACGACCGUUUCAGGUGAUGACGACAUCAGGUGAUG